UAUAAAGGAAAAUCUCGGGAUGCUGACGUGGCGGCUUCCAAGACUCCCAUUCUAUUUUCCCUCGGUUCCUAGGCCUCGCUGUUUGUUGAUAAGUGUUAGGAAAUCUUGAACUUCUGGACAGAAAUUGAAAGUCUCAACAUUAAUUACUGAAGUUUAUUACUUUCAGUUGAGUAUUCAUAAAGGCCGCAACUGAAAAAAUUUAAGUUCAAGUUCUCAUCUCAAAAUCUCAAAACUGACAAUCAUCGAAACUCUCCGCCAUGGCACCCCGACCUUCUUUGGAUCGGAACAAUUCUGUACGGCUUCGUUGUCUCUCGCUCUUUUGAAAAUCAAGCUAAUCAAGAAAAUUCCAGCGGCGUCCCUGGACAUCCACUCCUCCAAUCUUGUAGGUGCCAUUUCUUCCAAAAUCAAACCCAAAUUCUUUUUCCCUCAUUGUUCUGGUCAAUUAUGUUUAUUAUUGUCAGGGGUUUGAUUAAUUUUUGUGUUUACUUUAUAAUUUGAUUUGGCGGUGUGUGAAACUUACCUUUUUUUAUCUUGAUGUUAGAGGCUUUGUUUAAAUUGAUCAAACUGAUUGAUUUGCUUUGUGAUUGGUUGAAUUUUUAGUUGAUGGGCGAUUAGCCCAGGCCAUAUCUAGACUCUUUGUGCUGAAGAAUCAGUGAUAUGCUCCGAAGUUUGUGGCUUGAUCUAAUGUUGUUGAGCUACUCGAUCUCGGAUCUCAAUCGAGUACUUCUUGAUCGAUCUUGACAAACACAAUUUUUGUCCCCUGCUAUAAUGCAUGUUGUGCCUUGUACCGGUUUUUAAUUCGAUAUCGGAUUUGACAGGUUGAGCAGGUGAUCAAGGAGAAGAAUAUGGUGGAUGUCUUUGUUAGAGUAGAAGGUUAAUGUCAUUUAUUUGUGGAGAGGCUGAUCUUCUAGACAAAGAAAAGAUGUUCAGAAUAGUUAAAGGAGGUGGUAUCAAGCUUGAUUUUUCUUCUACAAGAUGCGGAGAGUUUCCAGGAUUUCAACAGAUGCGCACAAUGUUCACAUCAUAUUUUUGGAAGGAAUUUGUGGCUCGUGGUGCUGAAUUACGCUACAAUUGUAAAGCCAAUACUAAGAUGGUCGUAAAGCUGUCAACUAGAGUAGGAUGAAGGUCCUUAGAGUAAUUGCUUGCUUCGGAGAAUGGCAUUAGUUUACAAAUUAAAGAGGAGUCCUCCAUGACAAUAGAGAACUGCACACCCUCGUAGGGAAGGAAUUUGUCUUCAAACUGACACUUAACAAGUACAAUUGAGUUGAUGGCUGCGAGGACUAUGGAGUUUCUACGGUAUAUGUACCCGUGCAACAUCUUGAAUCUCCUUAUGCGAGGAAAAAUAAGCCAUAGGCUGCCUUCGAUCAGGCGGAGUCUUCAGCAUCUGCUGGCAAAGUGGAAGCAGAUACUGGCAGCGGCAAGAGAAAGCGGUCACCCGUUCUUCACGCUGUUGUUGAGAGCCAAAAUGCGGCACCUUGAUGUAUGGGUGACUGCUUGCUGUACCAUAACUUCAUGCAAGAUGCUAUAUUACUGUUCGCUUCUGACGUUAUGUUUUUAAGACACAUUAUAUGUUUGGUGUUUUGUAUUUUUUCAGUUGAAUGCAAUGAACAACUCCUUUUAUCUGUUA